UACGUAGGGCGCAAGCGUUGUCCGGAAUUAUUGGGCGUAAAGAGCUCGUAGGCGGUUUGUCGCGUCUGCUGUGAAAACCUCAGGCUCAACCUGGGGCUUGCAGUGGGUACGGGCAGACUAGAGUGAUGUAGGGGAGACUGGAAUUCCUGGUGUAGCGGUGAAAUGCGCAGAUAUCAGGAGGAACACCGAUGGCGAAGGCAGGUCUCUGGGCAUUAACUGACGCUGAGGAGCGAAAGCAUGGGGAGCGAACAGG
rnacentral:rRNA from 1 species